UUUGCUGUGGGAAUAAUAGUGAAGAAGAUGGUAACAGUACCUAUUUUUUUUGGAACACAUAUUUUAUGGGAAGACACAGUACCCAUCCCCCAAAAAAAGACAAAUAAAUAUAUGCAUAAAAUGACUUUACAUGGAAUUUUGUUACAAAAAGACCAAAGAAGACACUAAGAUGAAGAAUGAGAAUGGGGGAACAUAAUCUAGGUCACUUUUGCUCCUUGUGGAGAGUGGAUUGAAGAGGAGCAUUGAACUGACGAGACCCAGUGAAAAUUCUGUUCCAAUAAUGUGGAUGUAUGAUCAUGAUGAUUUAAUAAACGUGAAGCAAAGAGGUCAAAGCCAAGAAAUCACUGGAGUUAAAACCACCAGGGAUGCUACCAAAUUGGAUGUAGGGUGAGGAAAAGUGCUGCACAGUAGUCGUGUUUGCAAUGCUACCACUCAUGGAAAACAGCAGAGUACCUCUCGAAGCACACCCAAGAAAUCGACAGCAGAGGUUGCCUCUGAGGAGGGAAAUGGGGCACAGGAGCUGAGAAGAGGAGGAGAGUUCCUCUGAAUGUAUAAUGUUUGGUGCUCUUUGAAUUUUACACUAUGUGCAUGUAACCACUAUUCAAAAAUAACAUUAAACCCUUUACAUAUUUUAGUUACUAGGAGAUACUUGGCUGCUGUUCAUAGUGAGGAGGUCAUUAAUGGUAAUGGGGUCAGAAGAAACGACGGUCUAAGGGGAAAAUGCUGCAUUAUCUAUUUUCAGAAAUGAUCAUUUUGAUCUAUUAUUCAGAAUAAUAUUGAUUUGAACAGCAAUACCCUAUAACCAAGGGACCUGAAGGGAACAGUAUGCAGAGCCUAAGAUAAAGAAACCUGUAUAUUUUGUUGUGGUGAGAGUGCUGAAAGUGGAGAGUGGAAAGUCUGAGCCUUUACGUUUUUGAUGCCAGAGUAAUCAUUCAGAAGGCUUUUGAAGAGUAACGUAUUGACUACACUCUGUUACAUUUCAGUCAUUUUGCUAUCAUCCUUUUUUCCAGUACAUGCCAUAGAAUGUAGCAAUUCAAGAGCAAACUGUUGGAAAACAUGCUCAACUCAUCUUCCUCAGCUUGUUAUUUCUUCAAAUUAUCUAAUUCACUGUGCUUUUUGGAUUUCUUUUUGCUAUAGAUGGUUUUCCAUACAAGUGAAAUUGCUAAAUAAUUGUCAAGCUUCUGCUCCACUUAGAAAAUAUUCACCAGUUAUAACAGAUUACAUCCUAGUACUCUUAAUUCCAUAAUAAUGUAUAUCUUUGGAAUCUUGACGAUUUUCAACUCUUAAUCCAUAGCUCAAGUCUUCUGUCUGAUGUUGAAUGCAGUGAUCUUCCAAGCAAAUGACAGUAUUUGAACCUUCCCUUAAAAUGGUAGUAAUAAAAUUCCAAAGUACUUGUUAAGUGAAGGCAUAUUAUAAAUUACUGAUAUUUGGAAAUUUCUAAGAGUAUGUCACUUAGAAAUGAAUAUGUAGUGGUUAAUGUGACUGUCUUCUAUUACUGAGAAUAUGUGAAUCAAAGCAGGAUGCUAAGAUUUCCUUUCUUUGUUAUGAAUACCUGUUUAUACUAAUGUUCCAUUAUGACAAACUCUCCUCACUGGCUUGGAAGAGUAUGAUAUCAUAAUCUGAGAAAAUGUUAAAUGAUGCUUUCUAAAUUAAAUGCUUCAUUAAACCUCA